rnacentral:tRNA from 1 species
AAGAUUAAAUAAAUGUAGACUUCUAAUCUACUUACAAUGACUAAGUCAUUUAAUCUUU